AAAAUGUCUCUAGCAGGCACUCUGCCCUAUGCCUGGCAAACUCUUGUGACUUUAGUCAGUGAGUCAGUAAAGAUUACUUUUGGGGUGUGUCUGUGAGUGGGGUGGGGUAUUAGUGUCUUCUUUCCAGCCAAGGGACCACCUGUCACCCCACCCAGACCCUGUGUGUUCUGCUGUGUGGCCUCUCUCACAGCUGCUGCACCCACCCAUCCUCAGCUGUGGUUGCGUCACUGGGAGGAUGAAGGGAUCCCCCUGUACCAGCGCACGUGGUUUUGUUUGCGAUCAGAGGGGCCCCAGGAGAAAACACAGGAGCUAGCCAACGAAGCUCACGUUUCCUGGUUUUCAAUGUUAUGUUCUGCAGGAGGGCCGUCUGCAUGACGAAGAGAUAUAGCACAAGCCGAGAGUGCUGUUUGCUGGGGUUAUGAGUCUGUUUGCUGCUGUGUUGUGAGCUUUGCUCCCAAGGCAGCAUGGGAGGGGUUUGGGUUGCUCCUUUCAUUCUCUUAAGAGAUGAAAGGUCAGUGAGCAAUUGUGGGAACACCCCCUACCCUUGCCAAGUGGGGAGUGUUUAGGCUGUGCCUGGCAGGAAAAGUCUACUGACUCACUUGGGACAGAAGUAGGUGGAGGGGUGUAAAACCCUCAACCCCUAAACAAAGCAAUAGAAUCUCCAGACUGCAGGCCUUGACUCAUGAAGCUGAGACACUCAGGAUGACCUUGUUGUCAUUUAGCACUACACUCACAGCUGGCAGGACCUGGGCCAAGAGAGCAUUACGUGUCUUCCUUAUCUCUCUGGAAAUCUAAGCUGCCCAGAUGAUCGUCUUCCGAGAAGGAAUUUGUAGUUCUGUAUCUUUAAGAGCAUCCCUCUUGUUUCUCAGUCUGCAAAACAGGAGGAAGGAUGGGAUUUGAAAUUUACCCUGACUCUUCUGGAGAUCUGUGAUGGCCAGUCUUGGAUGUUACCUUAACACAAUUCAGUCUUGCAUUCUUCAACAGUUUCUGCGUCAAGCUCCUGACUUGAGUUCGUACCUUACUUUGCCUUGAAGAUGGACCAUAGCCUGUAAGAUAUUAAUAUUUGUGGUUAUACAAAAUAUUAGACCUAGAUAUUAGCUUUGAGGCUAUUUGGAUAAAAUAAAUACAUUUAUGAAAGACAUGAGCUCAUAGGUUGACUAUCUGGGUCCCAGAUAAUGGUGAUAAUUGAGAAAGUAUUGGAAACGUAGGAGAUGGGACUUAGUUGCCAGAAGUUUUGUCUAGAAUGCUCAGGUUUUCAAAGAUAGGGCCACAAAGUUAGGCCUUUGGAUGUAUACUCCUAAGAAGGAAUAGUAGAAUUAUUACAGGAUCCAGGUUAGUUCUCAUGUGGGCAAGUUAUUAUAAAGUAAAAACAAUACAAAACAAAACAACCCCAAACUCUGAGUACUAAAUGGUACAUCUCUCUUCCCUCUUUUUACUUUUCCUUGCCUCUCUCCUCCUUUCCCCCUGAGCACUCCUACUUUUCUCCAUUUUUUAAUUAGAAGUUGGCAUAUAUAAUGAUGGAGACAGAAGUUUCAUGAUACUGUUAUAAAUUUGAGCCCUUCUAAAACCAGUAGAUAAAUUUUGGAACCCAAAUUCCUAAAUGUUAAGAAAUUUAAGAGAAAAUUCCAAUGUGAGGAUGAAAAACCAAGAACCCAGACUGGGAUAAGAGAUAUUUGUGUAGAUUCUACAAUAUAAAAAACCUUGAAAGUCCAUUUACCAAGACCAGUAAAAUAUGGGUGUCAUAAAUCAGUAGAUAUUUCAGAGAACUCAUGCAAGUUCAUAGCAGAGCAGUUAUCAAGCUUCCAGUAUCAUAUCCCUAGAAAAGAGUUCAAAGCUGAAAUUAUUAAACAAUUGAAAGGGAGAGAGGAAGAAGAGGGAGGGAGA